rnacentral:rRNA from 1 species
CGGGGGGAGCAAGCGUUGUUCGGAUUACUGGGCGUAAAGGGCGCGUAGGCGGCCACCGCAAGUCGACUGUGAAAUCUCCGGGCUUAACCCGGAAAGGUCAGCCGAUACUGCGGGGCUAGGGUGCAGAAGGGGCAACUGGAAUUCUCGGUGUAGCGGUGAAAUGCGUAGGUAUCGAGAGGAACACCUGCGGCGAAGGCGGGUUGCUGGGCUGACACUGACGCUGAUGCGCGAAAGCUAGGGGAGCGAACGGGAUUAGAUACCCCGGUAGUCCUAGCCUUAAACGAUGAAUGCUUGGUGUCUGGGGUUUUAUAGUCCCCGGGUGCCGUCGCUAACGCUUUAAGCAUUCCGCCUGGGGAGUACGGUCGCAAGACUG